UGGUUGUCUUGGUCUGUAUGCUGUGGACAUCCACUGGUUGUCUUGGUCUGUAUGCUGGUGGACAUCCACUGGUUGUCUUGACCUGUAUGCUGGUGGACCUCCACUGGUUGUCUAGACCUGUAUGCCGGUUUACAUCCACAGGUUGUCUUGGUCUGUAUGCUGGUGGACAUCCACUGGUUGUCUUGGUCUGUAUGCUGGUGGACAUCCACUGGUUGUCUUCACCUGUAUGCUGGUGGACAUCCACAGGUGGUCUUGGUCUGUAUGCUGGUGGACAUCCACUGGUUGUCUUCACCUGUAUGCUGGUGUAUAUCUAGUUAUGACAUAACUACAAUGGCUAUUCAUACUGUUUUAGGUAUGUUUUGUGCUAUGACUGAUACUAUUGUACUUGCUUAUUACCAUAUAUUGAUUAUUAAUCUCUCAGACAAUAUUUGGAGAAAUAAACUCUAAGACACC
rnacentral:lncRNA from 1 species